rnacentral:rRNA from 1 species
GAUGAACGCUAGCUACAGGCUUAACACAUGCAAGUCGAGGGGUAACGAGAGGAAAGCUUGCUUUCCUUGUCGACGACCGGCGCACGGGUGAGUAACGCGUAUCCAACCUGCCCCCAACUAGGGAAUAACCUUGCGAAAGUAAGACUAAUACCCUAUAAUUUCCUCAGAUGUCAUCUGACGAGGAAUAAAGAUUUAUCGGUUGUGGAUGGGGAUGCGUCUGAUUAGCUUGUUGGCGGGGUAACGGCCCACCAAGGCAACGAUCAGUAGGGGUUCUGAGAGGAAGGUCCCCCACAUUGGAACAGAGACACGGUCCAAACCCCUACGGGCGGCAGCAGUGGGGGAUAUUGGUCAAUGGGCGGAAGCCUGAACCAGCCAAGUAGCGUGCAGGAUGACGGCCCUAGGGGUUGUAAACUGCUUUGAUACGGGAAUAAAGUUAGCCACGUGUGGUUAUUUGUAGGUACUGUAUGAAUAAGGACCGGCUAAUUCCGUGCCAGCCGCCGCAGUAA